AUUGAACGCUGGCGGCAUGCCUUACACAUGCAAGUCGAACGGCAGCACGGGAGCAAUCCUGGUGGCGAGUGGCGAACGGGUGAGUAAUAUAUCGGAACGUGCCCAGUCGUGGGGGAUAACGUAGCGAACGCUACGCUAAUACCGCAUACGAUCUAUGGAUGAAAGCGGGGGAUCGCAAGACCUCGCGCGAUUGGAGCGGCCGAUAUCAGAUUAGGUAGUUGGUGAGGUAAAGGCUCACCAAGCCGACGAUCUGUAGCUGGGCUGAGAGGACGACGAGCCCACAUGGGACUGAGACACGGCCCAGACUCCUACGGGAGGCAGCAGUGGGGAAUGUUGGACAAUGGGCGCAAUCCUGAUCCGGCAAUGCCGCGUGCAGGAUGAAGGCCUUCGGGUUGUAAACUGCUUUUGUACGGAACGAAACGGCGAGCUAUAAUACAGUUUGCUAAUGACGGUACCGUAAGAAUAAGCACCGGCUAACUACGUGCCAGCAGCCGCAGUAA
rnacentral:rRNA from 1 species